GAGAGAGACAUGCGCGCAUAUCAAUAAGCGGAGGAAAAGAAACUAACAAGGAUUCCCUUAGUAACGGCGAGUGAAGCGGGAAGAGCUCAAAUUUGAAAUCUUCAAGGUUUUACCUUGACGAAUUGUAGUUUAAAGAAGUGUUUUCUGCUGAAGUUUUGGUAAAAGUUCUUUGGAAUAGGACAUCAUAGAGGGUGAGAAUCCCGUAUUUGACCAUUAUUUUCAGCUUUGUGAUACACUCUCAAAGAGUCGGAUUGUUUGGGAAUGCAGUCCAAAAUGGGUGGUAAAUUUCAUCUAAAGCUAAAUAUUGGCGAGAGACCGAUAGCGAACAAGUACCGUGAGGGAAAGAUGAAAAGAACUUUGAAAAGAGAGUUAAACAGUACGUGAAAUUGUCAAAAGGGAAGCGUUUGACACCAGUGUUGUUUUCUCGAAAAUCAAUUAAAAAUGGCUCGAUUUUGUAUUGCUUGAGACCUUAAAAGCUCACUGUACAUUUUUCGUGUCUUUUUUAAUGCACUUUUCGUUUAACAAGUCAACAUCAGUUUCUUUUGUUGUAAAAGGGUCAUUGGAAGGUGGCUUUCUUUUCGGAGAAAGUGUUUAUAGCCUUUGGCCUCUGCAGUCGGAGAGACUGAGGUCUGCAGCGUAGACUCUUCGGGGUUAGAUACAUUUGUGCUAAGUUAUAGCUUUUUAUAGACAACUUGUUGACUAUAAUUAGUCUUGUAGCUUACUCGCUUAUGCUAUUUUACCUACGCUUAGGAUGUUGAAGAUGUAGCACAUCAU
rnacentral:rRNA from 1 species